UCUUUUACUAGAAUGGGAAGACAAUCACUUAUCAAGUUUCAAACCCACAAUGCAGCAGCCCAUCACUGACAAGGAGGAGAAGAGUUCCAGAGGCUCAGUGCUGGAGUACAAGGGAAUAGGAAUGGAGCUGAACAGAUCCAACACCUGAAAGGACAAUUGGAUCUCAAAAUAUGAAACCAUGAAAAAGACCCUUCAUUCAAUAAAGCAACAGAAUUGGCGCUAAGGAGAGAUGAAGGAAACACAGCCAGCAUGGCCAGUAUUCAUGAAACAAUGUUCAAAAGUUGCCUGGGGUCACCUCUUGGGUUAAGGGGAGCAGCUGGUCCCAUCUGCUGGGAUGGAAGCAAAGAAGAAACCACUGGAGGCUGGUUAGUCCUGGGACACAGACAAUACCCUGG